CUUCGGACUCCGCACAACGCUCGCCGCACGAACCCCGCCAGGCCGGGAACGGAGCAACGGUAGUGCCGGCCGCGUGUGUUGCGGGUCAGUCCGGAGUCU
rnacentral:SRP_RNA from 1 species